rnacentral:rRNA from 1 species
AUUGAACGCUGGCGGCAGGCUUAACACAUGCAAGUCGAGCGGGGUGAUGGUGCUUGCACUAUCACUUAGCGGCGGACGGGUGAGUAAUGCUUAGGAAUCUGCCUAUUAGUGGGGGACAACAUCUCGAAAGGGAUGCUAAUACCGCAUACGUCCUACGGGAGAAAGCAGGGGAUCACUUGUGACCUUGCGCUAAUAGAUGAGCCUAAGUCGGAUUAGCUAGUUGGUGGGGUAAAGGCCUACCAAGGCGACGAUCUGUAGCGGGUCUGAGAGGAUGAUCCGCCACACUGGGACUGAGAAACGGCCCAGACUCCUACGGGAGGCAGCAGUGGGGAAUAUUGGACAAUGGGGGGAACCCUGAUCCAGCCAUGCCGCGUGUGUGAAGAAGGCCUUAUGGUUGUAGAGCACUUUAAGCGAGGAGGAGGCUCUUUUGGUUAAUACCCAAGAUGAGUGGACGUUACUCGCAGAAUAAGCACCGGCUAACUCUGUGCCAGCCGCCGCGGUAA